AAUGCAUUUCGUUGUCUCGAUUUUACUUACGUUUUCAGGUUGCAAAUCACGGCCGGAUCUCGAUGGCCGUCAGACGGAUGGAGCAAAAAGCCAAGCAAAACAUCGGAAUAGUUCUGGAGACUUUUAGCCAUUCCAGCUAUAAGCAUGCGCACACCACUCACCAUGGGAACCUACCUCAAUUACCGGCAUGCAGCGCGCUGGCGCGUGCCCAUGGGCAAAGUGAGUUUAUUCGUCAGUAGACCUCCGAGCUGUGAAGUUCCUCUAGCAUCAACCUAGAUAUCGAGUGUACAGGUCUUGGAGAAGUCAAUAAAGCGUCAUUUGCUUUCCCGCGUGUUUUAGGAAAGUCCUCGUUUUAGCUUAUCAACAACCCUUUUCUUCAUCACCAUGCGAAGGAUCCAUGCUUUCAAGACACGACACACCAAGAAUAGAGUGAUGACAACAUGAGUGGUUCAUUAGAAAGGUAAUGCAAUCCUCACGACACAACAAUUAUGUGGUUGUUACAGACCCUUUUAUAGGCGUUAAUCACAACUGAAACAAACCACUAAGAGGAAAGUAGAAGAGCCACUAAAAGGAAACUAGAACACCGGUUAUACAAAACACUUGAUAAAUCUGCAAUGCUACAAAGGCAAAAAAUUAAAUGUCAAGAUUUUUUCUUUGCAUAAUUUCUUACGGAUUUGCAAGCUAUGUAGUGGUAUGUAGCACAGUAACGGUAAGGUAUUUGGUCUAAUUCACGAAUAAUUAAUCUGGAAAAACAGAUUUGAUGCUAAUUGAUCUUUGCGUGGUCCACCAGAAGGUAAUAAAUAAUUUCUUAAGAAGAUAAGAAGUCAGAUAGCUGCGAAUAGCCUAUCUCGAGAGGGUAGGUGAUUUUAAUCAGCUUUGACAGUAUGACCGAAAACAAUGGCUCUUGGUAUUAAAAGCUUCAAAAGCAAACACGGCCCUCUAAGCUAGGAUAUAGCACCGAUCUCCAGGAUUGCAGCAAAGAGGGCUCAUAAUUGUAGUAAAUUGUCACAUGAGUGCAUUUAUAUGCGCAUCUAGAUCAUCUGGUCAAGGUGUUCUAAGAAGAAGUGGAUACAUGCACGGGCCUGGAAGCGCGUCGAGUGUCGUGCAUGGGGAAAUGUUUACCCCUAAUGCAAACCAAUAAGCAAUAAUCACACGCAUAUAACAGCGCUUCCAAGCAUUUGAUAAAUUAAUGGCAGCAAAAGUUAUUCCCUAGGGCCCAUAGCAACCGGUUUCCAUAGCUCGGUCUAUCGUUAGAGUAUGAGUUUGAGCAAAACAAUUAUUCAUUCAGUUGUAAUUGCAUCGCUUAAAUUAUUCCAAGGCAAAUAACUUUCCUGAAACCAUAAAAUGAGUUGUUUACCGAACAUAAAGUCCAAGGGAACCGAAGUUUAUAUUUUCAGGUCUUUUUAAUGUUUGCUAAAGCGUUUUAGUGCCAAUAUUCCGGAAGAGGUUUUUACUCCCGCGACCAUCUGUCAAAUAAUCGUCUCUUCAGUGAAACCAACGGCGACGUGUUGAUAGACAGAACAGUUCGAAUAACAAAAUACCCGACGAUGUUAGGCAGAAAAGAAAUAAUUAUUCACUUAAAAACAGAUUGUAGGAAUUCAGUGAAUUGUAGAGUAUGGAUUAAAAAGGCCGUCUAAGAAGCACA